CAACUUUCAGCAACGGAUCUCUUGGCUCUCGCAUCGAUGAAGAACGCAGCGAAAUGCGAUAAGUAAUGUGAAUUGCAGAAUUCAGUGAAUCAUCGAAUCUUUGAACGCACCUUGCGCUCCUUGGUAUUCCGAGGAGCAUGCCUGUUUGAGUCUCAU
rnacentral:rRNA from 1 species